ACUCCUACGGGAGGCAGCAGUGGGGAAUAUUGCACAAUGGGGGAAACCCUGAUGCAGCCAUGCCGCGUGUGUGAAGAAGGCCUUCGGUUGUAAAGCACUUUCAGUAGGGAGGAAGGUAGUGUAGUUAACACCUGCAUUAUUUGACGUUACCUACAGAAGAAGCACCGGCUAACUCCGUGCCAGCAGCCGCGGUAAUACGGAGGGUGCGAGCGUUAAUCGGAAUUACUGGGCGUAAAGCGCAUGCAGGCGGCCUGUUAAGUCAGAUGUGAAAGCCCGGGGCUUAACCUCGGAAUUGCAUUUGAAACUGGCAGGCUAGAGUCUUGUAGAGGGGGGUUAGAAUUUCAGGUGUAGCGGUGAAAUGCGUAGAGAUCUGAAGGAAUACCAGUGGCGAAGGCGGCCCCCUGGACAAAGACUGACGCUCAGAUGCGAAAGCGUGGGGAGCAAACAGGAUUAGAUACCCUGGUAGGAUAGCG
rnacentral:rRNA from 1 species